AGAUUCCGUAAGUAGUGGCGAGCGAACGCGGAAGAGGCCAAACCGAGAGUAGUAAUACUUUCGGGGUUCGGACAGAAAACGGUAUUGUAAAGGUUUAGUGGAAUGGAAUGGGAAGUCCAACCGAAGAAGGUGAGAGUCCUGUACACGAAAAGCCUGAACAGCCAUCUGUAUCCAGAGUACCGCCGGACACGUGAAACCCGGUGGGAAUAUGGGGGGACCAUCCUCCAAGCCUAAAUACUACUCGGUGACCGAUAGUGAAGAAGUACUGUGAAGGAAAGGUGAAAAGUACCCCUGACGGGGAGUGAAAAAGAACCUGAAACCUUGUGUUUACAAGCACCGAAAGCUCAUCAAAGAGCGAUCGGGUACCUUUUGUAGAAUGGUCCGGCGAGUGAAUGUAACCGGCGAGGUUAAGCACUUAAGGUGUGAAGCCGCAGCGAGAGCAAGUCUGAAUAGGGCGUAUGAAGUCGGUUGUAUUCGACCCGAAACCGGGUGACCUACCCAUGGUCAGGUUGAAGUAAAGGUAAAACUUUAUGGAGGACCGAACCGACUCCCGUUGAAAUGGUAGCGGAUGAACUGUGGGUAGCGGAGAAAUUCCAAUCGAACCCGGAGAUAGCUGGUUCUCCCCGAAAUAGUUUUAGGACUAGCCUCAAGUUAGAUACCUGGAGGUAAAGCACUGAAUAGCCUAGCGGCCGAGAGGUUAGCGAAGCUUAUCAAACUCAGAAUGCCAGAGUAUUGAUGCUUGGGAGUCAGACAGUGUCAGAUAAAUGUCAUUGUCAAAAGGGAAACAGCCCAGAUCUACAGCUAAGGUCCCAAAGUCAGGUUAAGUGGAAAACGAUGUGAAGAUACGCAGACAACCAGGAUGUUGGCUCAGAAGCAGCCACUCAUUCAAAGAGUGCGUAAUAGCUCACUGGUCGAGCGUCUUUGCGCGGAGAAUUUAACGGGGCUAAACCUGACACCGAAGCUUAGGCAAUACAGCAAUGUAUUGGGUAGGGGAGCGUUGUAUACGCGGUGAAACAGUAGCGCAAGCGGCUGUGGAGUGUAUAGAAGUGAGAAUGCCGGAAUGAGUAGCGCGAAUGCAGUGAGAAUCUGCAUGGCCGAAAGCCUCAGGUUUUUGGAGGAAGGUUCGUCCGCUCCAAGUUAGUCGGGAGCUAAGGUGAGGCCGGAAGGCGUAGCCGAUGCACAGACGGUAGAGAUUCCGUCACCACCAAAAGAGUUAAGCACAGGGACACAUAUGAAGUCUCAGAGCCGGGUGUUGGUUCCGGUAGAGAUCGAGGGAAAUUAGUACCGAAGUCUGAGAUGGAAGAUGGCGAGAAAAGCUGUGUGUAUUUCUGAGGUGCCCGUACCGCAAACCGACACAGGUAGGUAGGAAGAAGAUUCUAAGGCCAACGGGAGAAGGGUUGUUAAGGAACUCGGCAAAUUGACCCCGUAACUUCGGGAGAAGGGGUGCUCCAGAGAUGGAGCCGCAGAGAAUCGGCCCAAGCAACUGUUUACCAAAAACACAGGUUUGUGCUAAAUCGAAAGAUGACGUAUACGAGCUGACGCCUGCCCGGUGCUGGAAGGUUAAGAGGAGAUGUGCAAGCAUUGAAUCGAAGCCCCAGUGAACGGCGGCCGUAACUAUAACGGUCCUAAGGUAGCGAAAUUCCUUGUCAGGUAAGUUCUGACCCGCAUGAAAGGCGUAAUGAUUUGGGCACUGUCUCAACAGCCCGCCCGGCGAAAUUGUAGUACCGGUGAAGAUGCCGGUUACCCGCGACAAGACGGAAAGACCCCAUGGAGCUUUACUGUAGCCUAAUAUUGGGUUUCGAUGUUGCAUGCACAGGAUAGAUGGGACACAGGGAAACAAGUGCUUUGGCAUUUGUGGAGUGGCCGUUGGGAUACCAUCCUUGCGAUAUUGGAAUUCUAACCUGCGGCUCUGAAUCGAGUCGGGGGACAUUGUUAGGUGGGCAGUUUGACUGGGGCGGUCGCCUCCUAAAGAGUAACGGAGGCGUUCAAAGGUUCGCUCAGCUUGAACGGAAAUCAAGCAAAAGAGUGCAAACGCAGAAGCGAGCCUAACUGCGAGACUGACGGGUCGAGCAGUAACGAAAGUUGGAGUUAGUGAUCCGGUGGUAUGUGAGUGGAAAUGCCAUCGCUCAACGGAUAAAAGUUACCCUGGGGAUAACAGGCUGAUCUCCCCCAAGAGUCCACAUCGACGGGGAGGUUUGGCACCUCGAUGUCGGCUCAUCGCAUCCUGGGGCUGUAUUCGGUCCCAAGGGUUUGGCUGUUCGCCAAUUAAAGCGGUACGCGAGCUGGGUUCAGAACGUCGUGAGACAGUUCGGUCCCUAUCCUCCGUGGGCGUAAGAGAAUUGAGAGGAUCUGUCCCUAGUACGAGAGGACCGGGAUGGACGGACCUCCGGUGUCGCAGUUGUUGACCAACAGCAUGGCUGCCUAGCCGCGUCCGGAUGUGAUAACCGCUGAAAGCAUCUAAGUGGGAAGCCGACCUCGAGAUGAGUUCUCUUUUUGGUAAGGCCACUUGU
rnacentral:rRNA from 1 species